rnacentral:rRNA from 1 species
CUGCCCAAUGAUAAAUUUCUUUAAAUGGCUGCAGUAUAAAUAACUGUACAAAGGUAGCAUAAUAAAUUGUUUUUUAAUUAAAAACUAGAAUAAAAGAUUAAAUGAAAUAUAAAUUAUAUCAAUUAAAAAAUUUAAAAUUAUUAUUUAAGUUAAAAAACUUAAAUUUUUAUAAAAGACGACAAGACCCUAUAGAAUUUAAUUAAUUUAAAAUAAAUUAAAUUAUUUAAAUUAAUUUAAUUGGGGAAAUUUUAAAAUUAAAAAAAUUUUUAUUUAAAUAAACAAAAAUAAAUGAAAAAUUUAUCUUUAAUAAAAAUUAAUAAAAUUAAUUACCUUAGGGAUAACAGCAUAAUUUUUUUUUUAAGAACAAAUUUAUAAAAAAGAUUAUGACCUCGAUGUUGAAUUAAGAUAAAAUUAUAAUGAAAAAAUUAUAAAAUUUAAGUCUGUUCGACU